rnacentral:rRNA from 1 species
UACAGAGGGUGCAAGCGUUAAUCGGAAUUACUGGGCGUAAAGCGCGCGUAGGUGGUUUUGUAAGUUGAAGGUGAAAUCCCCGGGCUCAACCUGGGAACUGCCUCCAAAACUGCAUGACUAGAGUACGGUAGAGGGUGGUGGAAUUUCCUGUGUAGCGGUGAAAUGCGUAGAUAUAGGAAGGAACACCAGUGGCGAAGGCGACCACCUGGACUGAUACUGACACUGAGGUGCGAAAGCGUGGGGAG